rnacentral:rRNA from 1 species
GACGUAGGGCGCGAGCGUUGUCCGGAUUUAUUGGGCGUAAAGAGCUCGUAGGCGGCUUGUUGCGUCGGCUGUGAAAUCCCGAGGCUCAACCUCGGGUCUGCAGUCGAUACGAGCAAACUAGAGUGUUGCAGGGGAGACUGGAAUUCCUGGUGUAGCGGUGAAAUGCGCAGAUAUCAGGAGGAACACCGGUGGCGAAGGCGGGUCUCUGGGCCGAUACUGACGUGGAGGAGCGAAAGCGUGGGGAGCGAACAGGAUUAGAACCGUCCGAGU